ACCCUGGCUGGAUAUAGGGCAAAGGAGAGUUUGGUUCAGUGCGGUAGGCCCAGCUGAAGCAGGAGGAUGGCUCCUUUGUGAAAGUGGCUAUGAAGAUGCUGAAAGCUGAUCUCAUUGCCUCAAGUGACAUUGAAGAGUUCCUCAGGAAAGCAGCUUGCAUGAAGGAGUUUGACCAUCCACAUGUGGCCAAACUUGUUGGGGUAAGCCUCUGAGCCUCUGGAGCAGGGCUAAAGGCUGUCACCCCAUCCCCGUGGUCAUCUUGCCCUUCAUGAAGCAUGGGGACCUGCACGCCUUCCUGCUCACCUCCUGGCUUGGGGAGAACCCCUUUACCCUGAUCCGGUUCAUGGUGGACAUUGCCUGCAGCAUGGAGUACCUGAGCUCUCGGAACUUCAUCCACCGAGACCUGGCCGCUCGGAACUGCAUGCUGGCAGGGGACAUGACCGUGUGUGUGGCUGACUUUGGACUCUCCUGGAAGAUCUACAGCGGGGCUACUAUUGUUAGGGCUGUGCCUCCAAAUUGCCCGUCAAGUGGCUGGCCCUGGAGAGCCUGGCUGACAACCUGUAUACUGUGCACAGUGAUGUGUGGGCCUUCGGGGUGACCAUGUGGGAGAUCAUGACACGUGGGCAGACACCAUACGCUGGCAUCGAAAACACUGAGAUUUACAACUACCUCAUUGGCGGGAAUCACCUGAAACAGCUUCCAGAGUGUAUGGAGGACGUUCUUACACUCCCACUCCAUCCAAGCCAAGGUCUCCUUAGGCCUUCAGACGACCUUUUGUAUGAUCUCAUGUACCAGUGCUGGAGUGCUGACCCCAAGCAGCGCCCAAGCUUUACUUGUCUGCGAAUGGAACUGGAGAACAUUCUG